rnacentral:rRNA from 1 species
AGAAAGCGUAAUAGCUCACUGGUCUAGUGAUUCUGCGCGGAAAAUAUAACGGGGCUAAAAUGAGUACCGAAGCUUUAGACUUGCACUUAAUUCUAAUUAUAAAUUUGGCUAUGAGCUUUUAAGUUAUAUUUCUCAUAAUUUAAUUGCACUCAUAUAAAUUAAAUUAUGAGAAAAUAGUUUAGCUAAAAUUAGAAGUAAUUAGAAUUAAGUGCAAGUGGUAGGAGAGCGUUCUAUUCAGCGUUGAAGGUAUACCGGUAAGGAGUGCUGGAGCGGAUAGAAGUGAGCAUGCAGGCAUGAGUAGCGAUAAUUNAUGUGAGAAUCAUCAACNCCNNAAACCCAAGGUUUCCUACGCGAUGCUCGUCAUCGUAGGGUUAGUCGGGUCCUAAGCAAAGUCCGAAAGGGGUAUGCGAUGGAAAAUUGGUUAAUAUUCCAAUACCAAUUAUUAUGUGCGAUGGAAGGACGCUUAAAGUUAGUGGAGCUAGCGGAUGGAAGUGCUAGUCUAAGGGUGUAGGUUGAGUUAUAGGCAAAUCCGUAAUUCUUUAUCCGAGACCUAAAAGGCUCAUGACGCUCUUCGGAGUAGAUUGAGAAUCCAUGAUACUAUCGAGCUAAGAAAAGUUUCUAAGUUUAGUAAUAAUUGCCCGUACCGUAAACCGACACAGGUGGGUGGGAUGAGUAUUCUAAGGCGCGUGGAAGAACUCUCUUUAAGGAACUCUGCAAAAUAGCACCGUAUCUUCGGUAUAAGGUGUGCCUAACUUUGUAUUAAGAUUCACUCCCAAAGCAAAGAAGGUUACAACAAAGAGUCCCUCCCGACUGUUUACCAUAAACACAGCACUCUGCUAACACGUAAGUGGAUGUAUAGGGUGUGACGCCUGCCCGGUGCUCGAAGGUUAAUUGAUGAUGUUAGCUAUGCGAAGCAUUUGAUCGAAGCCC